rnacentral:rRNA from 1 species
GACGAACGCUGGCGGCGUGCCUAAUACAUGCAAGUCGAACGCAGUGGGGACGGGUGAGUGACACGUGGGUGACCUCCCAUCAGAGGGGAUAACACUUGGAAACAGGUGCUAAACCGAUAUUGAAGGAUGGACCCGCGGUGCAUUAGCUUGUUGGUGGGGUAACGGCUCACCAAGGCCACGAUGCAUAGCCGGCCUGAGAGGGGGAUCGGCCACACUGGGACUGAGACACGGCCCAGACUCCUACGGGAGGCAGCAGUAGGGAAUCUUCGACAAUGGGCGAAAGCCUGACCCAGCAACGCCGCGUGAGUGAAGAAGGUUUUCGGAUCGUAAAGCUCUUUUGGUAGAGAAGCGUUAUCUAACCAGAAAGCCACGGCUAACUACGUGCCAGCCGCCGCGGUAAUUC